AGUCAUAUGCUUGUCUCAAAGAUUAAGCCAUGCAUGUCUAAGUUCACACCCUCGUACGGUGAAACCGCGAAUGGCUCAUUAAAUCAGUCGAGGUUCCUUAGAUGAUCCAAUUCUACUUGGAUAACUGUGGUAAUUCUAGAGCUAAUACAUGCUGUGCCGCUCCGACCCUCACGGGAAAGAGCGCUUUUAUUAGUUCAAAACCAGUCGGGACUUCGGUCUCGUCCUUUGGUGACUCUGGAUAACUUUGUGCCGAUCGCAUGGCCUCGAGCCGGCGACACAUCUUUCAAAUGUCUGCCCUAUCAAAUGACGAUGGUCGGUGAUCUGCCUACCAUGUUGGCUACGGGUAGCGGGGAAUCGGGGUUCGAUUCCGGAGAGGGAGCAUGAGAAACGGCUACCACAUCCAAGGAAGGCAGCAGGCGCGCAACUUACCCACUCCUGGCACGGGGAGGUAGUGACGAAAAAUAACAAUACGGAACUCGAAAGAGGCUUCGUAAUUGGAAUGAGUACACUUUAAACCCUUUAACGAGGAUCUAUUGGAGGGCAAGUCUGGUGCCAGCAGCCGCGGUAAUUCCAGCUCCAAUAGCGUAUACUAAAGUUGUUGCGAUUAAAAAGCUCGUAGUUGGAUCUCAGGCAUGGGCGCGCGGUCCGUCUCGCGACGGUUACUGCGUGAAUUGUGUACCCAUCCUACGCUUCCCGGUUGUUCAGCCCAUGGUGCUCUUGACUGAGCGUUUUGGGUGGCCGGAACGUUUACUUUGAAGAAAUUAGAGUGUUCAAGGCAGGCUUGUGGCCUGAAUAAUGUUGCAUGGAAUAAUGGAAUAGGACCUCGUUUCUAUUUUGCUGGUUUUCGGAAGACGAGGUAAUGAUUAAGAGGGACAGACGGGGGCAUCCGUAUUGCGGUGUUAGAGGUGAAAUUCUUGGAUCAUCGCAAGACGAACAACUGCGAAAGCAUUUGCCAAGAAUGUUUUCAUUAGUCAAGAACGAAAGUC
rnacentral:rRNA from 2 species